rnacentral:piRNA from 1 species
UGAGCUUUUAAAUGUUCUCUCUGGGAGC